AUAUCCGUGGAUUUCCGAAUGGGGGAACCCGCUCAAGCAAUACUUGAGCAUCGUGCGUUGAAUCAAAUAGGCGUACGAAGGGAACGGCCUGAACUGAAACAUCUAAGUAGGGCCAGGAAAAGACAUCAACCGAGAUUCCGCUAGUAGUGGCGAGCGAACGCGGAGGAGGCCAAACCGGAGGAUUUUAUUCUCCGGGGUUGCGGACAGACAUCAUGACCAGAGGAAGUUAGGAGAACGGCGUGGGAAAGCCGGCCACAGAAGGUGAGAGCCCUGUAUCUGAAAACGAAGACUGGCAGUCUGGAUCCAGAGUACCGCGGGACACGUGAAACCCCGUGGGAAACCGGGUGGACCACCAUCCAAGCCUAAAUACUACCUGAUGACCGAUAGAGGAGCAGUACCGUGAGGGAAAGGUGAAAAGGACCCCGGGAGGGGAGUGAAAGAGAACCUGAAACCUUGUGCUUACAAGCAGUCAAAGCACGUUAAGGUGUGAUGACGUACUUUUUGUAGAACGGUCCGGCGAGUUAUAGUAACGAGCAAGCUUAAGGUAUUGAGUACCGGAGGCGAAGCGAGAGCGAGUCUGAAUAGGGCGUUUAAGUUCGUUGCCAUAGACCCGAAACCGGGUGACCUAUCCAUGAGCAGGCUGAAGUGAGAGUAAAAUCUCAUGGAGGGCCGAACCGACCCCCGUUGCAAUGGUGGCGGAUGACUUGUGGAUAGCGGAGAAAUUCCAAUCGAACUCGGAGAUAGCUGGUUCUCCCCGAAAUAGCUUUAGGGCUAGCGUUAUGUAAGAUUACCGGAGGUAAAGCACUGAAUGGUGGCGGGGCCGAUAAGGUUACCAAGACCUAUCAAACUCUGAAUGCCGGAUAAUUGGUGCAUAGCAGUCAGACAGCGUGAGAUAAGUUUCGUUGUCAAAAGGGAAACAGCCCAGACCCACAGCUAAGGUCCCAAAUUCAUGCUAAGUGGAAAACGAUGUGGAAUUGCGAAAACAACCAGGAUGUUGGCUUAGAAGCAGCCACUCAUUAAAAGAGUGCGUAAUAGCUCACUGGUCGAGUGACUCUGCGCGGAAAAUAUAACGGGGCUAAGCAUGAAACCGAAGCUUGGGCUUGUCGUAAGACAGGGGUAGGGGAGCGUCGAGUAUGGGGUGAAGUCAGAGCGAGAGCACUGGUGGACUGUACUGGAGUGAGAAUGCCGGAAUGAGUAGCGAGAAUUAUGUGGGAAUCAUAAUGGCCGAAAAUCUAAGGUUUCUUGGGGAAGGUUCGUCCGCCCAAGGUAAGUCGGGAGCUAAGGCGAGGCCGAGAGGCGUAGUCGAUGCACAUACGGUAGAAAUUCCGUAACCACCGAAACUUAAGUCAGAGGGACACUUUGGAAUAGCAGAACCCGGGCGUUGGUUGACCCGGGCGUAAGGGAGCGAAACUAUAGUAGCGAAGUCUGCGAUGUCCAGAGGCGAGAAAAGCUCUGAGGAAUGCUAAGGUGCCCGUACCGCAAACCGACACAGGUAGAUGAGGAGAGAAUCCUAAGGCCAACGGGAGAAGGGUUGUUAAGGAACUCGGCAAAUUGACCCCGUAACUUCGGGAGAAGGGGUGCUCCAGAGAUGGAGCCGCAGAGAAUCGGCCCAAGCAACUGUUUACCAAAAACACAGGUUUGUGCUAAAUCGAAAGAUGACGUAUACGAGCUGACGCCUGCCCGGUGCUGGAAGGUUAAGAGGAGAUGUGCAAGCAUUGAAUCGAAGCCCCAGUGAACGGCGGCCGUAACUAUAACGGUCCUAAGGUAGCGAAAUUCCUUGUCAGGUAAGUUCUGACCCGCACGAAUGGCGUAAUGAUUUGGGCACUGUCUCAACAGCCCGCCCGGCGAAAUUGUAGUACUGGUGAAGAUGCCAGUUACCCGCAACUAGACGGAAAGACCCCAUGGAGCUUUACUGCAGCUUAAUACUGAAAUUCGGUAGUACAUGUACAGGAUAGGUGGGAGACUGAGAAAUACAGGCGUCAGCUUGUAUGGAGUCGCUGUUGGGAUACCACUCUUGUACUGCUGAGUUUCUAACCUGCGGCCGUGAAUCCGGUCGGGGGACACUGUUAGGCGGGCAGUUUGACUGGGGCGGUCGCCUCCCAAAAGGUAACGGAGGCGCUCAAAGGUUCGUUCAGCACGGACGGAAAUCGUGCAAUGAGUGUAAACGCAUAAACGAGCCUAACUGCGACACCGACGGGUGGAGCAGUAACGAAAGUUGGAGUUAGUGAUCCGGUGGUAUGUGAGUGGAAAUGCCAUCGCUCAACGGAUAAAAGUUACCCUGGGGAUAACAGGCUGAUCUCCCCCAAGAGUCCACAUCGACGGGGAGGUUUGGCACCUCGAUGUCGGCUCAUCGCAUCCUGGGGCUGUAUUCGGUCCCAAGGGUUUGGCUGUUCGCCAAUUAAAGCGGCACGCGAGCUGGGUUCAGAACGUCGUGAGACAGUUCGGUCCCUAUCUGUUGCGGGCGUAAGAGAUUUGAAGGGAGCUGUCCUUAGUACGAGAGGACCGGGAUGGACGUACCUCUGGUGCACCAGUUGUUCUGCCAAGGGCACAGCUGGGUAGCUAUGUACGGACGAGAUAAACGCUGAAAGCAUCUAAGCGUGAAACUCCCCCUAAGAUGAGAUCUCUCAUCCUUUA
rnacentral:rRNA from 1 species